AGAGUUUGAUCCUGGCUCAGGACGAACGCUGGCGGCGUGCUUAACACAUGCAAGUCGUGGGCGGUCGCAAGACCGACCGGCAAACGGGUGCGUAACACGUAAGCGACCUACCGAUUCGCGGGGGAUAGCCGGCCCAACGGCCGGGUAAUACCGCAUACGCCGAACGGGCUUCAUGGCCUGUCCGGGAAACCUCCGGGGCGGAUCGAGGGGCUUGCGGCCUAUCAGCUAGUUGGCGGGGUAAUGGCCCACCAAGGCUACGACGGGUAGCUGGUCUGAGAGGAUGGCCAGCCACAUUGGGACUGAGAAACGGCCCAGACUCCUACGGGAGGCAGCAGUGGGGAAUAUUGCGCAAUGGCCGAAAGGCUGACGCAGCGACGCCGCGUGUGGGAUGACGCCCUUCGGGGUGUAAA
rnacentral:rRNA from 1 species